UAGGGAAUCUUCCACAAUGGACGCAAGUCUGAUGGAGCAACGCCGCGUGAGUGAAGAAGGUCUUCGGAUCGUAAAACUCUGUUGUUAGAGAAGAACACGAGUGAGAGUAACUGUUCAUUCGAUGACGGUAUCUAACCAGCAAGUCACGGCUAACUACGUGCCAGCAGCCGCGGUGAUACGUAGGUGGCAAGCGUUGUCCGGAUUUAUUGGGCGUAAAGGGAACGCAGGCGGUCUUUUAAGUCUGAUGUGAAAGCCUUCGGCUUAACCGGAGUAGUGCAUUGGAAACUGGAAGACUUGAGUGCAGAAGAGGAGAGUGGAACUCCAUGUGUAGCGGUGAAAUGCGUAGAUAUAUGGAAGAACACCAGUGGCGAAAGCGGCUCUCUGGUCUGUAACUGACGCUGAGGUUCGAAAGCGUGGGUAGCAAACAGGAUUAGAUACCCUGGUAGUCCACGCCGUAAACGAUGAAUGCUAGGUGUUAGGUCCUUUCCGGGACUUAGUGCCGCAGCUAACGCAUUAAGCACUCCGCCUGGGGAGUACGACCGCAAGGUUG
rnacentral:rRNA from 1 species